AUACGUAGGGAGCGAGCGUUGUCCGGAAUUACUGGGCGUAAAGGGCGCGUAGGCGGCGCUUCAAGUCGUCUGUCAAAUGGAAGGGCUUAACCCUUUUUCGCAGACGAAACUGGAGAGCUUGAGAAGCAGAGAGGCAAACAGAAUUCCUGGUGUAGCGGUGAAAUGCGUAGAUAUCAGGAAGAAUACCAGUGGCGAAGGCGGUUUGCUGGCUGCAUACUGACGCUGAAGCGCGAAAGCCAGGGGAGCGAACGGGAUUAGAUACCCCGGUAGUCCUGGCAGUAAACGAUGUAUGCUGGGUGUGAGACUAGCGAUAGUUUCGUGCCGAAGUUAACGCGAUAAGCAUACCGCCUGGGGAG
rnacentral:rRNA from 1 species